CCUACGGGGGGCAGCAGUAGGGAAUAUUGGGCAAUGGACGCAAGUCUGACCCAGCCACGCCGCGUGAAGGAUGACUGCCCUAUGGGUUGUAAACUUCUUUUGUAUGGGAAGAAACCUCCGAACGUGUUCGGAGCUGACGGUACCAUAAGAAUAAGCAUCGGCUAACUCCGUGCCAGCAGCCGCGGUAAUACGGAGGAUGCAGGCGUUGUUCGGAUUCAUUGGGUUGAAGGCGUAGAUAUGCGGCAGAGGAGAAAGCUCGCAGCUUAACUGUGAAAAUGCCAUUGAAACUGAUUUUCUUGAGUUCGAUUGAGGUAGAUGGAAUGUAUCAUGUAGCGGUGAAAUGCCUAGAUAUGAUACAGAACACCAAUUGCGAAGGCAGUCUACUAAGUCGAUACUGACGCUGAGGCACGAAAGCAUGGGGAGCAAACAGGAUUAGAUACCCUAGUAGUC
rnacentral:rRNA from 1 species